rnacentral:lncRNA from 1 species
UCACAUGAACCCUCGAGACUCCAAAUGCAUGACGAGAAUGGCUUAAGGAGUGAAAACUCAUAUAAAAAUCUCACAAGAACCCACAAUGACAAAUAUACCCAGUAAACAGACCUCAAAAGGUGAUAUAAGUGCCCAAUGGAGCAAGAUACCAUACAUAAACAUGUCAUUGCGCUUUUCCUUUCUUUUUUUUCUUUUUUUUUUAGCGCAUGCUCUGAUCAUCAAUAAGUCAAACUCCAAUGGGAAAGAUACAAGAAAUGAAUAAACUCUCUCAAAUCACUGAUGAAUACAUGAACCCCAACCCAUGAGACAACCUCUCAAACUAAAAUCUCCGAAUCAAU